CGUUUAUAGUGAUGACGUUUGUAGUAAUAUAGUUAGGCAAAGAUAGUACAUAGAAGUCAAUACGAAGACCACGAACUAAACGGACAAAGAACUUCUCCACCAAAUGUUGAUCGCUAAGUUUCGAGUUUGAGAAGAAUUAACGUGAUGAAACCAACUGAAAUAAAUGCAAGAUAUGUGAUCAAGAAAACUGAAUACUUUGUAAACAAUUUUUAUUGCACACAGUUAAGAUUUUCGAACGAAUCGUUGUGAAGGACAGAUUUUGUACCGCCGGAUGAGAGCCACAUGAUCACCAUAUUCAGUCGAUCCAAGAAUCCCUGGCACAGAAGACAUUUCGAUGGAAAGAUAGUUUGAUAAAUUCAUCGUACGUGGAGGAUUGUUUCUAUCUUCUUUCUUAGCUGUUUCGACUAACACUUCAAAGUCACCAUGUUUCUCUCUGCAAAAAUGAAAUAUGAGGUUAAAAAUAAUUGUAUUUUUGGAAUUAAAUUUGGAAAACAUUCAUUGGAGAAAGGCAACGAUCUACUGUGAGUAAGUAGAUAUAUAUAAUACUGUGGGGUAAGAUGGGACAUCGUUAGCAACUAAAUUUUCUAAUCGUGUUUUUAACGAUUAACAAUGCUGCAACAGUCGGGAAGCUACGGUUAUAUAAACCUGUAAAUAUUAUUUGUUUACUACCGAACGGGACAAGGAAAGGUGUCCCAUUUUACCCCACUGUAUGAUACUUUUAUUGGUUUGUACGAAUGUAAGGUGUGGUACCACGUCACUUAUAUGCAAUCGUGGUGAAAUAACGAUAAACAGUAAGAGUGUCAAUGUGGGAAAGUUAUAUCAUUAAGUGCUGUAAAUUAAGUGGGCGAGGUGUUGGUUAAGUUACGUUGCAAAUGAUAUAAACGUUUGCGCAAUACUGUGUAAGUAGGAAAAGACUGUGAUUACCGCAAAUGCUAAUAACUUUACCGUAUACAUGUGUUCGUACAGCUUUCCGCUGUUAGCGUUUGUUACAACGAAGUGUUUUUUAUUCUUAUCCUUGCUUUUUCGUUAUUGGAAAAUUUGGUUCAAAUUAUUGCUAUUUGUUCGGCUAUCUAGCUCCACCAAGCGUCUUGUAUCUUGAAUAAAAAAAUAUAAUCCGGCAAAGUGACGCAAACCAAAACAAAUUCAAACAAGCAUAUUUAUAUGCAUAUGAAUGACUGAAUGUUACAUUUAUUUAUUUAUAUACAUAAACUUUAUAGUGUGUAUAGAGUACGCUGUAUCCAAUUAAAUAAAACCAAGAAAAGUACAGUUUUAAAAAAAUUAGGCAUAAAAUGUUCUCAGAACAAUAAA